CUCUCGCUCACCGGAGCCGCGCAGGAGCAGCAGCAGUCCACGAGUCCAUUAAGGACGCCCUCACCGGCAAGACCUCCGACAUGAAAUCCACUAACAGUAAGUGUCCUCUACUUCUUCCUUCUGCAUCUUCUCGUCAAAAACCCUAGAUGCUCCACUGCCUUCCAUCCUAGACGGGCCUCAGGUUCGCUUCUUCCACUUCGCUCACCUCUGCUACUUCUCCUCCUCCUUAUCAAGCCUCCGCUUGUUUUCUCUUCGAGAUCCUCGCCUCCUCCACCCCUUCCUCCAUCGAGCCUCUGCUUAUUUUCUCAUCACCCUCCUCCCUCUCCCUCCUCCACUCCUUGUCAAUCUUGCAUCCACCGCUCGCAGUUACAAAUCUGUGGUUGUUCAACCCCUGCUGGCCAUGCCCACCACAAGUGCCCUGGGGACCGACCCUUUGGAGUUUCGGUUCAACAAGGUAAUUGAGUCGCUCGUGGAUCGAAUUGAUCUAUCGGAAGAAGAGGCGGAAGUGUGCCUCAAGCUUCUACUCAAUGAAGCCAACGAGGCUUUAAUUAGCGCCUUCUCCAAGAGAGGAAAUGUGGACAAUAGUGUUAAAUGCAAUUGCGCAGAUCUUUUUCAGAGACUGUUUAGGCAAGACCUCCAAGCCCAUUCUUUACCAAGCAACUGACAGCUUUUGAGGUGUGGCUAGCCCAUGGCUCUGAACACAAGAAACCACCAGAACAGCUACCAAUAGUUCUUCAGUCUUGUCAGGUAGAUAUGGUGAAAGAUGGUGGUCACACAUAUUUUAUCAAGUUUCAUGAUAGCAUGGAUGCCUAUGCUGAGCAGCGAGCAAUGGCUGCUUUUGUCUUGGCAGUUGUAGUGGAUGGACAUCGGCGGGGACAAGAAGCAUGUAUUCAAGCAAAUUUGUUAAAUGUAUGCCUGAAGCAUUUACAAAUUUCUAAUCCAAGUGAUGGGCAAACUGAACCUUUACUUCUCCAUGGCUUUGUUUAUGUCUGGGAAAGCUCUGGGAAGAUUUUCUAGAAGUACAAAUCAUAGGUUCUCUUGCAGAUGGAGUAGCAACUAUUUUACCUUAAUUGUUGGAACCAUAGCCUGAGGUAGAAUUUAUACAUCUUUGUAGUCUAUGUUUUACUAGGAAAAUUCUUGUAGUUCAACAUCUGUUUGGCAGGUUAGAGCUUCUGCUAUUUUUGCUUUAGGGAUUCUUAUUGAUGUUGCAUCUAUCACAUUUGAUAAUGGACAUAGAGUUGAUGAGGACUUUGAGGAUAAUGAAAAGUUAAAGUCUGAGUUGAAUAUCAUUAAAAAUCUUCUACAACUUGCUGUGGAUGGAAGUCCUUUGGUGAGGACUGAGGUUGCUGUAGCUCUUGCUCGCUUUACAGGCUAACACACUCAGGUGGAGUUUGAAGGAUUAGGAAAAUUAAGAAGCAAGGAUGAAGAAGAUGAAGGAUUAGGA